rnacentral:rRNA from 1 species
ACGUAGGGUGCAAGCGUUAAUCGGAAUUACUGGGCGUAAAGCGUGCGCAGGCGGUUUUUUAAGACAGGUGUGAAAUCCCCGGGCUUAACCUGGGAAUGGCAUUUGUGACUGGAAGGCUAGAGUGUGUCAGAGGGGGGUAGAAUUCCACGUGUAGCAGUGAAAUGCGUAGAGAUGUGGAGGAAUACCGAUGGCGAAGGCAGCCCCCUGGGAUAACACUGACGCUCAUGCACGAAAGCGUGGGGAGCAAACAGG